AUUGAACGAUGGCGUCAGGACUAACACAUGCAAGUCGAGCGGAGUGGCGGACGGGCGAGUAAUGCCUAGGAGUCUGCCUGGUGGUGGGGGAUAACGUCAGUAAACGGGCGCUCAUACCGCAUACUUUCAUAUGAGCCUAGGUCGGAUGAGCUAGUUGGUGGGGUAAAGGCCUACAACGGCGACGAUCCGUACCUGGUCUGAGAGGAUGAUCAGGCACACUGGAACUGAGACACGGUCCAGACUCCUACGUAAGGCAGCAGUGGGGAAGAUUGGACGAUGGGCGAAAGCCUGAUCCAGCCAUGCCGCGUGUGUGGAGAAGGUCUGCGGAUUGUAAAGCGCUUUAAGGUGGGAGGCGUUACCAACAGAAGAAGCACCGGCUAACUCCGCGCCAGCAGCCGCGGUAAUAC
rnacentral:rRNA from 1 species